UACGGAGGGGGCUAGCGUUGUUCGGAAUUACUGGGCGUAAAGCGCGCGUAGGCGGCUUUGUAAGUCAGAGGUGAAAGCCUGGAGCUCAACUCCAGAACUGCCUUUGAGACUGCAUCGCUUGAAUCAUGGAGAGGUUAGUGGAAUUCCGAGUGUAGAGGUGAAAUUCGUAGAUAUUCGGAAGAACACCAGUGGCGAAGGCGACUAACUGGACAUGUAUUGACGCUGAGGUGCGAAAGCGUGGGGAGCAAACAGG
rnacentral:rRNA from 3 species